GACCACCACUCGCCGACGCCGCUCCUCCCUCUUCUGCUUCUCCCAGCGCCGCCCGCCCCCGCCGUUCCCUCACACGCCGCCCGCCGCGCAAGAGCCGCGACCUCGUCACGUCUGCCCGCUGGUGCCGUGGCCCCGUCGACGUCCGCCCGCACAGGACUCUCCGAGUGUGGGAUUGAGCCGUACUUUUUUUUUUUGGUGGCUCGGGCCGAGAUCCGGUACUGUAUGAGGGUUGCCAACUAGACUUUAAGAUCGCUGAUUCAAUGGAGGCCUCCGAGGCAGCACCUGCAGCGGCGGACACCGUCAUGGAAGCAGAGGAUGUGAGCGGCGGGAAGGGCGAAUGGUACGUGCUUGGGGAGCGGGCGCUGAUGGUGCCGUACACGCGGGAGCACGUGCCGCGGUACCACGACUGGAUGCAGGACCCGGCGCUGCUGGAGGCCACCGCGUCGGAGCCCCUCUCCCUCUCGCAGGAGUUCGAGGUCCACCGCUCAUGGACCCUCGACCCUCUAAAGCACACUUUCAUAGUGUUGGAUAAGGAGCUCAUAGAGGGAGAGUUCGUGCCGGGCAACCCGCACAUUGAAGAUUGAAUCAGUUCUUGGCAACUCGUGUCCUUCCGGUCUCAAUGACUUCCGGUCUCAGGAACGGAUUGAAGCGAGCUGCACCAGGAAAGUAGUGAAACUAUGGUUGGUGAUGUGAACAUAUAUAUGAAUGACUCUGAUGAUGUGCAGAUCGCGGAGAUAGAGAUUAUGAUAGCUGAACAUAAGAGCCGUGGGAAGGGUAUUGGUCAAGAAGCAAUCUUACUGAUGAUGGCAAUUGCAGUAGAGAAAUAUGGAAUUCACACGUUCAGGGCAAAAAUUAGCGAAUCAAAUAUGGCAUCGCUUAAGCUCUUCAGGAAGUUGGGCUUCAAGGAUGCUUCAUACAGUGUGGUGUUCAAGGAGGUGACUCUGGAGGCACCCGCUGACUCACUCCCGUUGAGAUUUCCUCUGACCAUUGGAGACUGGUGACGUCUGACAUGCCCCAAGCUAAUUCCAUGCAGACGACACAAGAAGCUAAUGCUGUUUGUCUGUACUAUCUGACCAAAAUUUACUCGGGCUGAUAUUGUAUGAAAAAUUGAAUAAAACAGUUGCACAGUUGUGAUUCAAUUGCAUUAGACCAGUCGGGUUUUUCAUGUCACUAUUUUGAAGACCCCAUAUCUUAUAAACAAAUGUAGACAAGUUUUAUCUCAUAAAUUUUUUUU